rnacentral:tRNA from 1 species
ACUAGAGGGGGUUCGAUUCCUUCCUUUCUU